CUAAUUGAAUGCCGUAAAGCGAUAGAUUUCCGUUUUUUGUAGUUUGUGUUCUCAGGCGGCUGGAUGAUUCAUCCCGUGAUAGCUUUCCGGAUAACAAUUAAAACUCAAUUAUAAGAAUCGGACUGACCAAAAUCAGAACUCACCGCUGAUCGCAUUUUUCUUUAUUUCCAGUGUGAAAUUCAAACAUUCAUCUCUUUAUUGGAACAGCACCUUCCAAUGUCGUAACCUUCCCAGAGAAGCGGAACAGCAUCAGCUAGGCGUCUUUUCGGAUGAGUCCGGUAAGUAAAAUCUUUUAAGUAUUAAAUUUCUAACUCCGAUGAAUUUACGGAUAUAUUUUCAUAUUCCAAGAAUGAUGAAUCAGAACCGCGAAAGAAAAUUAAAGAAUGCAAAAAAAAAUUAAAUAUCGAUGUCUAAUUGCUUCCAUUUCUUUCAGCUUACUUGGUUUAUUUUGGCCACAGGAAGGAUUUUCCCAACAUGUUUUAUCUUAGGAGAAACCGUGCUAUACCUCGAUUCUUGGUCCGAAGUCCCUUGCUGCUGAUGGAAAAACCGUUCAAAUCAACCAUAAAUGGCAGUAGUACUGGUGGUACUAAAGUAUAAGUAAUAAAAUGUUGCUACAGUGGCGGCCGCCAAAUAUUAGGCAAGUACCUACUAAUUUUUAAAGAACUCUGAAACUUCAAAAUUCAUUUGUUAAAAAUCAAAUUCGCACAGUGACCAAUCGUUAUCAAUUAAAAAUUGAUAUUGGCGACCAUUGGCCGAAUGAAAUUUUUUAUGAAAUUUUUUACAAAAUUAGCUAACAGCCUCCUUUCAUAAUUUUUCACAAUUCAUAAUUAUUGCAUAAAGUCUCAAACCGAUCAAGUCAACAAGAAGUACACUUCGACGGCAGGUUCGUAACUUGUUUUUAUCUAUCAAAGUGAUUUUUUCUAUCGAUGUAGCGUUCGUAAUAAAACAAACUGUAUGCAAACGCAUUGGAAGGUGAUUUGACAUCUACCAAACAAAUCGAUUCAACACCAAAAAAUCAGUUUAAGAACACGCCGCUAGAUUCCUAAACUAACAAACGAAACAGCUAUGUAUUUGGUACGACAGUGAAUAUCUUCUUUCAUAUUUACUCAAUAUUGCUAAAUUUAUUCACGAUUCAUUUUAUUGUGUCGAAUCAUUUCAUGAAAUCUUCCGUGAUAUAACUUUUUAUAAACCAAUCCUGUGUUACGAGCGAUUUCCACACACCACCCACAGUCCUCCCCUUUACAUUUUUGUUUAUUUAUUUACUUUCCACUUUUGCGCGACUGCAGUGUUUUACGGGUGUUGACGGGUAGAAUUUCAUCUCUGGAGUCUUUCUCAGCAUCAGUAUUGUGUAGCGUCUUAGAAAAAGCAAGAAGCAUAAACCUGAGCUUCGGGAACGUAAAAUUUCAAAUAAACCCAAAAAUGCUUCUGGAACUUUCGUCUAGUAGGAAACUGAUUCUCAAGGUGAGCGGAAACAUUUCAGCUUUGGAAAAGGGUAGCGGUUCAUCUGGCUACGUAAUACAUCCGGCUGUGGUAUUUUCUUCGCGAGUGGCUAUUCCGGGGAGCGUAAAAAUACUAGAAGCGCAGAAAAAAGAACACCAAACCGACAUCGGAAAGCCGAUUUCAUGCAGCACAAUUCCGAUACUGUCAGAAAUGGAAACAGUAUAAGAAACCUAUUCAUUUCAUUCAUCCGGCUACACCAGCAAAGCCAGCCAUUCCUUUAACCACAUUCGGAGCAAAGAAGGAAAUCAUGGCAGAAAGAUCGGUUAUCAUCGAUGGACCCCAUCCCGGCUUAGUUCUGCUACAAUUCCACCUUUCAACCGGGUAAUAAUAUGGACAAUAGUGGCUUAAACAGUGUGCAAAGAUAAAAAUGAGAAUUUAUGAAAAUGUGUAUGUAUUUCUUGAAAUCAUUGAUAAUUUUUUUUUUAUAUUUUUACAUUAAAUGUCAUAUUAACACCUUCAUUUCCUCCAUAGAAAGUUUUUCGAUCAAAUGAAUAGUUUUUAAAAUACACACGAUUGUAAUUGCCCGAAUUCUAAAUGACCAUAGCCUUAAUACGUACACUUUUAAUAAUAAAAAAAAAACUGAUCACAAACACAAUAUCAAGUUGUUAUUUACCCUAUUUCAAACCAUUAUUGGUUAUUCUAUUUUUGUAGUUAUUGCUGGAAAACACUUUCCGGUAGUGAGUAACUUUUCUUUUUACGAUAAAUAAAACUAUACUUUUUUAAUAUUUUUCUUUUUUUUUCCUUUCAGCUUAUGAUUCUUACAUCUGAGCAGAAUGUGCAAUUUACUGUUCUAUUGAAAAAGUUGGAUCGAUCACGAAAAGGAAGAAACCGUCUCUGUAUUUAGAUGUUUCGCCAUCAGGUUUUGAAUAUAUUAGCUUGCUAUCCGCGCUCGGUUCCAUUAUUACCCGGCAGUCCGACGUUUCAACUUGGGGAGCAUCACAUUCGGUGACACCUAGAAGGAAAUAAUGGAAUUCUUCAACCAACCAAUGCACCUUUUCUUACUGGCACAGACUGCCGCAAAUCCGGUGCAAGCAAGCCAGUUCGAUAUGGACAAAGAUUUCGCCUUCCUGGAAUUUUGGUUCAUCGUUGGUACGACCCAAGCCAUAGCAUUCGCUCCGAAUUCAUCACAAUUAAGAUAUUCGUCUAGAAGUUGCCAAAGUAUUCAAACAUGGAUCAAUUUAAUAAGCUACAUUUAAGCCAGGCUGAAUACUGUCACAGGCUGCGCCUUUGCGGCAUAUGACCAGUAGUCUAUCACUGAUCAGUCUGUUCCAGGUAACUAGUUAAACAUGUUUAUUUCGCGUUUUCUGUGUUCGGGAUUAGGUUAGGGUUAGGUGUUAGGGGUCAAUGAAGUACCUAGCAGUAUUCUUCAUUUUGGACGUAUAUUUUAAAAUCUUGAUGGGAUAGCCGCUAGCUACAAUUAAAACCAUGAUGCAGCUUGUGCAGCAUCAAUUGCGGUUUUUGCAAUCAACUAGCAUUACGACAAUGUUAUAGGAACACUGUUAAAAUAACGCUACCUUACCCUUUCGAGAUUUUCAUUUCCACAAUCAAUAAAUUUUUCAAUAAAUUCAUCAUGUAUUUCCUUUUCUUCUCUUCUGAAAAUUCUCACGACUGUUAGUGAACUUUUUGUCGAAUAUGGAUAAGCAAAAAACUAAUAUGAGGUUAGCUGAAAAAAUGCAAAAUUUUCGGUAAUUUUUACUGAAACCCGUAAAACGAACGAUUAUUUCAGCUUAUGAUGCAAACCGCAUAACACAAGAUGAUUCGAGUAUCCUGAAGACACUUCAAGCAAGAAAUCUCAAUUCUGAGGAACACAGAUGGACAUAAAUGGUUCAGUCGAAUCGAUGUUUUUGCCUAAAGCAGUG